UACAGAGGGUGCGAGCGUUAAUCGGAAUUACUGGGCGUAAAGCGUGCGUAGACGGCUAUCUAAGUCGGGUGUGAAAGCCCCGGGCUCAACCUGGGAAUUGCAUUCGAGACUGAAUAGCUAGGGUACGGUAGAGGGAAGCGGAAUUUCCGGUGUAGCGGUGAAAUGCGUAGAUAUCGGAAGGAACAUCAGUGGCGAAAGCGACUUCCUGGACGAAUACUGACGCUCAUGUGCGAAAGCGUGGGGAGCAAACAGG
rnacentral:rRNA from 1 species